UCUCCCGCCCAACUCCCACCCACUCCCUCGAAUUUAUCGCGAAGCUUCCAUUCCCGUCUCUCUUUCUCUCUGCAAGACGAGGAUUUCAAGAAUCAGAAGAAGAGUUUAAGGCUGACUGAGUACUGUGUAUCUACCUGAAAUUUCUGAAAUUAUAUCUAUUGAGAUGGAAAGCACGUAAACAGAAAAAGAUGCGAUGAAAGAUGCAAAAAGAGUAGUUGCAGAUCAAUUAACGUUGAACCUGUAUACAGAGGUUGCGUUGGUCUUUGCAAAGCAUUGUGCUUGAAAGGAGAGUCAUCAUCGGUAUCCUUAUGGUAAACGUACGGUCAUGAAAGAGUGGAGGACGAUUAAGAAGCAAGCUACAGCAACAAGGGGAAGAAUUAAAGUUGUUUCUUAAUGUUAUUGAAGAAGAAAAGAUCGAUGUGAUUGUUAAUUAUGUACUCUGAAUGAAAUAAAGUCAUGAGAUUCCUCAAAUUAGUUUGUACCAAAUUAAUUAAGGAAGCUAUAUAUACACUUUAGAUCAUAUUGGGCAUACUCGCUCCUGCCAAUAAUCAUUCUCUUUUGUA